GUGUGACAACCCGAUAUUUCGAGACAAUGUAAUGUAAAACCAAUCAAAUUUAGGUCAAAAUAUAACUUUCCUAAAAUCUUAUUUGGGCUAAUUAAAGUAGUAGGAACCGUAUCAAGGUUUUCGUACAUAUAAAGAACCCUAAAAUCCGAGUUAUAAUGAAGAAGUUAUGACCAACCGAAGAUUCUCGGAAAAACCGGCAUCAGCGAGUAAUCGUAAAACGCGAAAUUUCGAUGCAAUAGUUUUUAGCCUUAAGUAUCUAAAUGGAAGUUAUAGACACCCUCGAUCUAUGAUCGUGCAUAAAAAGAUCGUCCAAAUCUGACUUCGGAUGUGAAAGUUAUGAAUUUUAGAAGAAAUUCCUUAAUCACGUCAUUUUAAUAAAUAAAUAAUAAAAAUAAUUUCGGAAUUUGCCAACGGAAUCUAAACGAAAGUUGUAGAUCAUGGUCUCACCUUCGCGUGGAUAUAAAGAACGUCAAAAACGGAGUUCGUAUGAGGGAGAUAUGAAUUUUAGAAGUUUAAUUAAAAUAAAUAUAAAUUUAAUUAUAAAUUCCCGGUAUUAUCCGAAGGGGAGUCACCGGAUAGGACCGAAGUACGCCCUGCGUACCUUCGUACGCCCCGCGUACUGAGAUCGAGGGUCUCGGAUCGUCCACGUCGCACUAUCCGAAGAAUCUAACCCGUCCGACCCGUCCGAAGCUCCGACCCGUCCGACCCGCUGUCCCGUCCGACCCGCCGUCCCAUCCGACCCGCGUACCCAGCAACCCGUCCCAUCCGAACCGAGGCAGUCGAGGCUUCGGUCAUGCAUGACGUACGCGUACGCGCUGCGUACGAGCGUACGCCCCGCGUUCGGAGGCGGUUCAGCCUUCCUAUAAAUAGGAUGCGAGGCUUUCCGAAAAAGUUGCUCAAUUCUCUCAUUUCUCUCUCGAUCUUGCCUCGUUUUCCGUGCCCGUUAUAACCCGAAGCUCUGGUCUUUUUGCUCAAGUCCCGAGGGUCGAUUUUACUCCCGAGAUUCCCGAGAAUCCCGAGGAAAAUCCGUUUCCCGAGACGAAACUCUGCCCGGUUUUCCAUCUCGCUAUCUUCAAGCUUUCAUGUGAGUUCAUACCCCUUAAAUAAUGUUUUAAACUACUUUUAAAUGCUUUUGGGGGGGGGAUACAAGUAGAAUCAUGCUACUUAUUAUGUCAAUCGCAUGUGAUUAGUAAGUAGGAGUAUAUUACUUAUUACAUCAAUCACAUGUGAUUAAUAUACAACAUUCAAAAGAUUUGGCUACUCAUUAGCCGUUUUACCAAACAGUUUCCUUCAAAUGAUUUUUAUAAACAUUUUAUAUGUUUUAAACUCCUUAUUACACUGUACCUCUUACUCUGUUUAUCAUAUUUCAAACUUAUUUACAACUGUGUUUCAAACAAAUGUUCCUUAUACUUAUAUUGUUUUAUCAAACUUAUGCCUUCAAAUUGUUUUAUAGAUUGACAUCAAGUCGAUCUUUCCUUAAACUAAUAUUUAUGUUUCAAAUGUUUUACCAAACUUAUUUAUGCUUUUAUAUUAUAAAUUGCAUGCCUCUAUAUGUAUAGUUAUAUAAGAAAUGUUUAAAAGACUUAGGAAGGCUAUCCACCCUAUUUCCUUUUCGCGCCUUGAGAUGUGGUCUGGUGGGAUAUUGGAUACUCGUCCGAAGGUCGUUUAAAUAUUAGUUAUAUAUCAUGUGUACAUAUAAAGUCAUAAAAGGUUCUUCUAGUUCAUCCUAUGCCCUUGGGUAGCAAGGGUAUACAUCCACGUCCAUACGUACCACUUAGAUUACUAGUAAGCUACCAUUUGGGUAGUUCAGGAAGAUACUAGAACUAUUACUAGAACACGAUAUCAUACAACGAGUCAGUUCAUUCAUGAGUCAAUACUUUCUAGAACGUUGCUGUGCAAUACAUAUACAUCUAUAUUAGGACGAGAACAUAUACAAUUAUACUAGAACGCUUACAUGACAAUACUUGCUAGAUAAAGAGAUCACACAUUACAGCUAGCACACGUAGAACAUUUCAGUACACCAUAAGUACAAUUACGUGAUCACACUUACAUGAGUACGCUUUCAUAUACAUAGGAUAGACGUCAUUAGGGGCUAUAGCUCAGAACCAGUUUAGGAUCUAACUAUACUGAUAAAUCACACUACGAUUGUGAUUGUUAUAUCGAGUAUACAUGAUCGCAGGUAAUGUGGUGCUCACGGCUUGCAUUCAUGCAGGGGUCGUGUGUGGGUCCUAAAAUCCCUCUGAUAGGGGAGCGAAACAGUCUGGGAUCUAGACAUCACAUUAUACCUUAUCCAUCAAAUAAGGCAAGUUGAGUAUCGGUGUAUUGAUAUAUAUACAUAUAUAUAUCCAAAUACUGUGGUACUUGGUAGUAUUACCCUAGAUUUAAGGUAAUAGGUACGGUUGUAGUUUGACACUACACCAUAGUACCAUCUCUUUCCCAUUACAUUCACUUCGCGAAUUUUUCAUAGGAAGCGCGGUAAUGUAGAUGCUAUCUGUUGAUAAAUAGUAGCCCUUUUAGAGCUACGAUUUAGUACUACGUUAAUUUUUCCAGUACAUAUUUCAGUGAUAACCUCACUUAAACAUAAAUAUACAAUCGAUAUUUUGAGUAAUGAUAGUUAUACUUUGGAAAAAUACAUACUCUUACAAGAGACACACACACACAGAACAGUUAAGUCUUGGUAGAAGACUCCUUUUGUUACUAAUAGGAAUCAUAGGGAUUUCUAGGGAUUUUCAAACAUAUACAGUUGAGCUACAAAUAUUUUCAUACUUAUACUCGUUUUCUUUCAAAGCAAUGUCAAGUCUUAGAAAUUAUAAGUUUUCACAAAUUAAGACACAUUAAUACUUAUGAUCUCACCAGCUUUAAAGCUGAUACUCGCUUUCAAAAUUACUUGUAUCCUCAGGUCAUCAUAGACAGGUACCGAUGCAAGGAGAAAGGAAGAUGGAGCUUAUUCAAGACUUAUCUUUCAUUUUGAUUUAUGCUUUAGUGUUUAUCAAAAUUUGACAGAAUACAAUUGUAUAAUAAUUAUUUUAUUAAUGCAAUGGAUGAUGUUGUUGCUUGUUUACUACUUUACAUUGUUGUUGAUAUUAUACAUGACGUCCUCCGCCCCAGAACGUUUCCGCCGUUCUCGGUUUUGGGGUGUGACAGAUUGGUAUCAGAGCAUUGUUUAUAGUGAAUUGAGUAUAUCAACCCAUAAAAGAUAUACUAACUAUAAAUACAAUGGGAUUAAAAAUACUCUGAUUUAGAGUUUAUACUUUAAAUAAUAAAAUAUUUAAGUAAGUAUACGUGCCUGCAUUCAUACUAAAAUCAAUGUCACUAGGACAGUACAAAAGAAUUACGAUUGUUGGGCAACACAAGUGUGCUUAGAGACAUAUGGUCAAAACUGGGAAGAUAUAGCCUGAUCGCCUAUAUUAUCCGAGGGUUGACUAGCAUGUGCCUAAGUUUAAGUGUGUGGUUGCAACAAUGCUAAAAUCUUACCAACCCUACCACAAUGAGAACAAUAGAACAUAACAUAAAAAUUUAAAAUACUAUAGGAGUAUUUGGUGUUACUAUAAGUACUUUAUACUUGAGAAUUAAAACGGAAUCCUCAUUACUAAGUUGAUAGUUGCUAAGUGGAUACACUAAGGCUACAUGUAAUUAGGAUGUUAUAGACUUAGAAUCAGUGGUAAUUUUGCCUUACCCCUAUUCUGUGUGAAUUUGGAAAUAAGGUCACUUAUUCGAAGGUCUAUCCUGUUUAGAUUACACAUAGCUGGUAUGCACUUCACAAUUAGCGAUGUAACUAAUGAAGGUUUUCUAAAUAAUUAUCUAGAUAGUUCGUCUAAUAAUUAUCCUCUUACCCUAAAUUCUCGCAUAAAAAUCAUAGCUGGACUCCAUUCCCUUGACAACCAGUACCUUCCGAAUGAAGUCAUAGUUGGUUGGUUUGGAGAAGAACCAGAGAAUGAUCAUCCUAUCCCCUUGGAUGAUCACCGUAAUGAAGACUUUUUGUACGAUGCUAACCCCGAGCCAGAGGUUGAGAACCUACCCCGAGUAGCUCCCAUUUCAAAUUCCUAACCCUCUUCCGGCUUUUCAUAGCCUGACCCUGAGUGAGUGGAAUGCUUGGAAACAUGGAGCCAAGAACAAGAUCAGCCCAUGCCAUUUAUUGGCAACCGAAACUUUUACGACUUGAGCAAUGAGGGCUUAGCAGAUAUAGUCUUGCCAAUCUUGGUCCGCAGAGAGGCCAUAAAUGAGAUUCAAGACAAGACAACCCUACAUCAGAUUUCAGAAGAAGUCGCCUAUGCUAGAACGCAUACCCUCCACACCCUUCUUCUAGAGGAUGCUCACGAGAGAUCAGAGAGAAACCACGAAACCCUGCUGCAAGAACUGGCUGAAUCACGAACCGAAGUCAUAGGACUCCGAGUAUGCCACAUGGUGUGCGAAAGACAUCUACUUGACAAUGGAACGUCAAUUGAUUGAACUAAGAGUUCACCAGAGGGAUGACCGUCGCCCGUAGUAGACGCUUUACUUUAUUUCCCUUAUAACAAGAGACCGUGUUUUUCUGUCUAUGCCCGAUGUGGUAUUUUCUAUGAAAUUAUCUUGAUUCCGUAAGUACUUUAGUUAGGUCUUUAUGCUGUCAGGAACUAUCUUCUGGGGAUAUGAUGUGAGACCUUUAAAAGGCCGUUUUCCAAAACCCUUACAUCGUGAAUAUCAAAGAUAUUGACAGCCGGCUAACUUCUGUGUCAUUCUUCAUUCAAGUACUUUUAUCUUACCUUCAUUCGAGUCUAUCUGAAACAUGCUUUAGUCAAGUCAUUGGACUAUGGUGAUUUAUUCAGGAGACACUUCCAAGUCUCCUUCAGUGGUUGGAUCUUGUUAUUCACCAACCCACGAUACCUCAGCUCGAACGACAAACGUCUUGUGACCAUUCUACGAUCAUACUUCCAUUCCGUACUAGGACUGCAUCAUAGGGAUGUAGGUCAAACUUUAGAGAUCAUACUCUUACUCUUUUCAUGAACAAUCUAAGUACAUCAGGGUCAACCAUAAUCGCUUACAAAUCUUUACUCUUUCAUGUUACAGAAUCAUGGCGUCGUCCGGAAACAACCAGCCAAGCAACGAGACCUCUACUUUUCCGAUGGACGCCGCCACCUUUCAAACGACAGUUACAGCUGCUGUAGUGGCGGCCGUAACCGCGGUCAUGGCGCACCGUAGCGCUAACAGCACAGUCAAUGCUGCUAAUGGGAAUAAAGUUUCCAAUCGCAAUAUCCAUCCAGGAAGUCAUCCAACAGUAACAUCCACAGGCUCGCAAAGCCAGAAAGCAGAGAACAAGAAAAGAAAAUGUCAAGCCAAAGUGGAACGCAAACGGUUUCAGAAAAUUGCCAGACAGCAGCCACAAACCUCUGCCAUCCCAGUACCGAGCAGACCAUAUAAGGGAACACUCCCGAAGUGCGACCGGUGCAAUUUCCACCACGAGGGAAUGUGCCGCGUCUUGCAGUGCGUGAACUGCAACAAGAAAGGACACAUCGCCCGUUUCUGUAAAGCUACCUUCACCACUAGGGCCAGCCUAAAUUGCUAUAACUGUGGUGAGUUUGGGCACUAUAAAAGAGAUUGCCCAAAGAAGGAAAACAAGGAAAGCACCCGUGUUCCCAUAACUCCUACCCUACACUUCACUUCCUCCACUGAUGUGAGUACUAGCCAGUCAUGCCACCAAUGCGGUGAGUUAGGGCACUUCAAGAAGGAUUGCCCGAUAACGCAGAACCCUGGCGCAGACGGGAAGAUUCCCAGGAUCACAGCUGCAGGAGAGCCUGCUCAGGAACCACGUUAAUGUAUUUAAGGCGUUUCGUUGUAACAGACUUAUAAACUAUCUAGAACUAGUGCAACUAGAGUCUUACCUUUUGCGAGAUCCUGUCUGUAUAGGAAUGCUCGUGCUGCGUAUACUUGUCUUUUGUAGUAUAUCUUAUUCGCAGCAAUAGUCUAGUGGUAAAUCUAAAGUACUGUAACUCUGUUCAUGGUUGCACAGUUGUGUUUUGUCUGUAAUCGUCUAUGUUUAAUUCUAAUGUCUUUAAAGUUUCUGUAUGAUUCCGACAUUAUCAUACAAUCAGAUUCAAUUUGAUCGACGCGAAAACAGCUUCAUGCGUACAUCUCUUUCUUCUAGAUCACUUUUUCAGCGAAGCCGUCUUAUCAGAACGCCGAAGUGCUCAUUCCAGGAUUACCUCUUAGAUAGUUUCUUUCCAAGGAAAUCCUCGAUGUACCACUCGUGCAGUACGUCAAGUGCAAUCUAGGAAAAUUCAUACGGAUGAUCUAUCACUGAGGAAGGUAUACAUAAGAGUGUUAUAUAAUCAAGGUUCUACAGGUUUAGAAUUAAUGAUUUCGCCUUAACUCUUUUCCUCCUUGGGAUGUGAGGGUAAGGAAGAAUCAGUUAUUCGACUACCUUUUCAAUCUUAAUUAUAUACGCCUCGUAUACACGAAAUGGUGAUCGUGAAGCCCUGUAUGAAUUCUAAAAUGGACUUCAGGACGGAGAAACUGCCUAAGUAUACGAGUAAUCACAUCGUCAUGUGAAUAGACUUAGAACCCAGUACAACUCCCGAAAACAGAUCGCCCUAUAGUUUAAACACCCACGGAGAUACAAGAACAACACGAGCAACUUGGCGAACCACACAGAAAUAGAAUUAGAAGACUAGGUUUCUCACCCUAGAGAACCCCGGUCAGAUUCUUCCAGAGGUCGAUGGAUCGCAUCGUAGGUGCCUCGGUUAUCGAGGAAUCCGUCAAGAUUUUCAUAGAAAUCGUUAUCUCUGCCUCACAUAGACAAAAUGGUUGAGCAAACGUAAGGAAAGAAUCUACUUCCAGGAAUGGAUCUGGAAUCCGAAUAUCACCAGUUCGAGUGUUAGGGGAGGAUGUCCGGAAGACUAUCUCCUGAACCCGAUACGGACACUUCGAGUUCGUAGUGAUACCUUUCGGAUAGGACCAAUACGCCCAUGGUUUUCAUGAGUUAAAUGAAGGGUUACGUCUUUCUUACUUGGAUCAAUUCGUCAUUUUCCCCAUGAGAUGACUUACUUAUCUACCCUCGUAGUAAGAAGAAAGCCCAUGGUAACAAUCCUACAGUGGAACUUUUAGCAAAGUUCUCUAGGCACGAGUUUUGAAAUUGAAGAGUCAAAUUUCUAGGACACACUGAUAGUAGUGUGAGAAAUUUUGAGUACUCUCUCAAUUAGUCAAAACCGUUGAGCAUUUAUCAACACCAGAGACUCCGACAGUUUUUCGCCAGAUUCUAGGUCUUACCGACCUACCGCAUUAGUUCAUUCAGAACUCCUCGCAAGCUACAGAAACUCGUACGACUUUGACCCAGCAAGGGGUGGCCUUUGACUGGGAAGUUACGUAAGAAAAGGAACCUUUGAGAUUCCAAGUGAGUGACCAAGUUCUUUAGGAUAACUCACUCUGGGAAUGGCUUAAUACGCUUCGUAAAGCGUGGAAAUCUAAAUCCAAGUUAGACAGGACCUCCGAGAUUCUUAUCAGAAUCGGUCCUGUGCCUCUCACAAACAAGACCUACUCCGCGAACUCAGUAACGUACUUUCUACUCUUCGCAUCUCGAUCGUGAAACCAUACCUUUCCGUUAGGACUCUUGCAAGUCCACUCUUCGAGAUCCUCAACUUCGUAUUAGAACCGUAGUGACCCUCGACCGAGAGGUCAAGCGGACGAAGAAACGCCAUCGCCAGUUAGUGAAGGUUCGUUGGAAUGCCAACCGAGAACCCGUUAUCACUUAGGUGCGUUAGAACCAAUCGAUUAGGAAGUUUCCUCCUCACGACUCGAUUAUUCGUGCAUACUUCCUUGCUUAAAUUCUAAUUUCGGGACGAAAUUCCCUUUAACGGGGGGAUUCUGUGACAACCCGAUAUUUCGAGACAAUGUAAUGUAAAACCAAUCAAAUUUAGGUCAAAAUAUAACUUUCCUAAAAUCUUAUUUGGGUUAAUUAAAGUAGUAGGAACCGUAUCAAGGUUUUCGUACAUAUAAAGAACCCUAAAAUCCGAGUUAUAAUGAAGAAGUUAUGACCAACCGAAGAUUCUCGGAAAAACCGGCAUCAGCGAUUAAUCGUAAAACGCGAAAUUUCGAUGCAAUAGUUUUUAGCCUUAAGUAUCUAAAUGGAAGUUAUAGACAACCUCAAUCUAUGAUCGUGCAUAAAAAGAACGUCCAAAUCUG
rnacentral:lncRNA from 1 species